rnacentral:rRNA from 1 species
UACGGAGGGUGCAAGCGUUAUCCGGAUUCACUGGGUUUAAAGGGUGCGUAGGUGGGCAGUUAAGUCAGUGGUGAAAUCUCCGGGCUUAACCCGGAAACUGCCAUUGAUACUAUCUGUCUUGAAUAUCGUGGAGGUAAGCGGAAUAUGUCAUGUAGCGGUGAAAUGCGUAGAGAUCGGCAGGAACACCCAGGGGGAAACCAGUCGACUGGGCAUCUACUGACGCUGAGGUGCGAGAGCGUGGGGAGCGAACCGG